GAUGAACGCUAGCGGCAGGCUUAAUACAUGCAAGUCGAGGGGCAGCAUGAUUGGAGCAAUACAAUUGAUGGCGACCGGCAAACGGGUGCGGAACACGUACACAACCUUCCAAUAAGUGGGGAAUAGCCCAGAGAAAUUUGGAUUAAUACCCCGUAACAUAACGAUGUGGCAUCACAUUGUUAUUAUAGAUUUUUCGCUUAUUGAUGGGUGUGCGGCUGAUUAGAUAGUUGGCGGGGUAACGGCCCACCAAGUCUACGAUCAGUAGCUGAUGUGAGACCAUGAUCAGCCACACGGGCACUGAGACACGGGCCCGACUCCUACGGGAGGCAGCAGUAAGGAAUAUUGGACAAUGGACGCAAGUCUGAUCCAGCCAUGCCGCGUGAAGGAUUAAGGUCCUCUGGAUUGUAAACUUCUUUUAUAAGGGACGAAAAAAGGCUUUUCUAAGUCGUCUGACGGUACCUUAUGAAUAAGCACCGGCUAACUCCGUGCCAGCCGCCGCCGUAAGAC
rnacentral:rRNA from 1 species